rfam:Triticum aestivum genome assembly, contig: Triticum_aestivum_CS42_TGACv1_scaffold_338709_4BS
UUUCUACUCCCUCCGUCCGAAAAUACUUGCCAUCAAAAUGGAUAAAAAGAGAUGUAUCUAAAACUAAAAUACGUCUAGAUACAUUUCCUUUUAUCCAUUUUGAUGACAAGUAUUUCCGGACGGAGGGAGUAUUUG